CUCAUUUCUCUGUUUAUCUAAUUCAUCAGUCUUCUAAUGGCGGAUCACUCGACCGCCAUGAUUUUCCCUGAUGAAGCUCUCAGAAUUGUACUGGAAGUCGCUCAACGCCUUCCUUCCAUCACCGUUUCUCUUCACGAUGCUCUUGAGAAGGUCUUGGUCCAGGAUAUUCGCGCUCCGGACCUUUGCCGCCCUAUCCGGCCUCCAUAAAGGAAUGAGAUCAUAUCGUAUUACACGAUUGAGUGGAAGAUGUUCUUGAUUCCAGUGGUGCUGAUGGAGAUUGUCUGUGGAUUUUUCUUUUUGCUUCGCUGUCUAAUUUGAAGAAAUGAUAUCGAUGUUGUGUUAAUGUUUGAUUUGCGAAA